GGGGGGGGGGGGGGGGGGGGGGGGGGGGGGGGGGGGGGGGGGGGGGGGGGGGGGGGGGGUGGGGCCGCCCCAGGGCGCUGCUGGAGGACCUUGCCCUGUGGGACAAGCCCAUGCUAAAUUAUAGACUUCUCUGCUUCGUCGGAAAGGAGCUGGGACCGCCCAGGUGAAGGAAUUACCUCUGCUGAUGAAUAGUCUUUCCCAAAGAAAACAGUCUUCUAAGUAGAUGGGUUCAAUUACUCACUGAGACUUCACUCUUGCAGAUAAUUGACUACUCAACCACCUUAAAUUUGGCUUUGGUAGCCAGGCUCAGAGAGCUGAUGAUAGGAUGGCUGAUGCAAAAAGCAUAUGCAUGGAUUUAGAGUGGUUAGAGGAGCUGUGCUUGUCACGAGUGUCUAUCAGCUCUGUGUGCCAGUCUUGGGAUCACAUAUCUGCACAACAAACUCUCCAGUGUGAAUAACUUGUCCCUGGACUGAGGCAAGGCAGGUUACUGGAGGAAAUAUAACAGGAAUUCAAUGUGCCAUUCUUGCCCAGAGGACACAAGGGGAUCAGAUUCAUCCUUGCCUCUUCCCACUUGUAGCUAACAGAAGACAGUCAAGAACAGAUUCAGUAAGUCUUUACAAGAAAUUUAGGGUCAUGUCAGGGAUUUGCUGAAGACAGAGCAGGACUUGAGAUGAGCUCCUUUGUCCUGAAAAAUGACAAAGAGCAGUCUUGCUCUCAGUUGCAGCUGAGGCAGCUCUCUAGCUAGGUGAGCAGCCUGUGAGCUCCAAGGUGGUGCCUCACAGAAUCAGUGAAUUAGCCUUACCAUAUGCUAAUACAACAGGUGCAAAAACACAGUUAGUGUGUCAGUGUGUGUGCUGCAAACGUGCCAAGUUGGUAGCACAAAUGCACAAUAUUAAUAUGUAUUUUAAAGGAAAGGCUCUACUCCAUAUUCAGAAGCUAGUUAAAAAUAGGAGAGUGUUGGCUUCACA
rnacentral:lncRNA from 12 species